rnacentral:rRNA from 1 species
UACGUGGGGGGCAAGCGUUGUUCGGAAUUACUGGGCGUAAAGGGCGCGUAGGCGGCCCUCUAAGUCGGACGUGAAAUCCCACGGCUCAACCGUGGAACUGCGUCUGAUACUGGAGGGCUUGAAUCCGGGAGAGGGAUGUGGAAUUCCAGGUGUAGCGGUGAAAUGCGUAGAUAUCUGGAGGAACACCGGUGGCGAAGGCGGCAUCCUGGACCGGUAUUGACGCUGAGGCGCGAAAGCUAGGGGAGCAAACGGG